rnacentral:rRNA from 2 species
AAACCAACCGGGAUUGCCUCAGUAACGGCGAGUGAAGCGGCAACAGCUCAAAUUUGAAAGCCCGCGGGCGUUGUAAUUUGCAGGCGGAUGUUUUGGGGCGGGCGCUGUCUACGUUCCUUGGAACAGGACGCCGCAGAGGGUGAGAGCCCCGUGCGAUGGCGCCUCCAACCGCGUAAAACUCCGCCGACGAGUCGAGUUGUUUGGGAAUGCAGCUCCAAGUGGGUGGUAAAUUCCAUCUAAAGCUAAAUACUGGCGAGAGACCGAUAGCGAACAAGUACAGUGAUGGAAAGAUGAAAAGCACUUUGAAAAGAGAGUGAAACAGCACGUGAAAUUGUUGAAAGGGAAGGGUAUGCGAUUAGCGGCCAGCAGGAGGUGCCUUCUCGUGAAAAGGCCGUGCACCGUCUUCGGACACCGUGCGCGGAGAUGGCGAGGGGGCGCCUGAGGUCUGCGACUCGAGGUUGCUGGCGUAAUGAUUGCAUACCAC